GACGAACGCUGGCGGCGUGCUUAACACAUGCAAGUCGAACGGAAAGUCCCUGCUUUUGUGGGGUGCUCGAGUGGCGAACGGGUGAGUAACACGUGAGUAACCUGCCCUUGACUUUGGGAUAACUUCAGGAAACUGGGGCUAAUACCGGAUAGGAGCUCCUGCUGCAUGGUGGGGGUUGGAAAGUUUCGGCGGUUGGGGAUGGACUCGCGGCUUAUCAGCUUGUUGGUGGGGUAGUGGCUUACCAAGGCUUUGACGGGUAGCCGGCCUGAGAGGGUGACCGGCCGCAUUGGGACUGAGAUACGGCCCAGACUCCUACGGGAGGCAGCAGUGGGGAAUAUUGCACAAUGGGCGGAAGCCUGAUGCAGCAACGCCGCGUGCGGGAUGACGGCCUUCGGGUUGUAAACCGCUUUCGCCUGUGACGAAGCGUGAGUGACGGUAAUGGGUAAAGAAGCACCGGCUAACUACGUG
rnacentral:rRNA from 1 species